GAUGAACGCUAGCUACAGGCUUAACACAUGCAAGUCGAGGGGCAGCAUUAUCGAAGCUUGCUUUGAUAGAUGGCGACCGGCGCACGGGUGAGUAACGCGUAUCCAACCUUCCCCAUAGUCAGGAAUAGCCCGGCGAAAGUCGAAUUAAUGCCUGAUGUUUUCCACGGACGGCAUCCGAUGUGGAACAAAGAUUGAUCGCUAUGGGAUGGGGAUGCGUCUGAUUAGCUUGUUGGCGGGGUAACGGCCCACCAAGGCAACGAUCAGUAGGGGUUCUGAGAGGAAGGUCCCCCCACAUUGGAACUGAGACACGGUCCAAACUCCUACGGGAGGCAGCAGUGAGGAAUAUUGGUCAAUGGGCGGAAGCCUGAACCAGCCAAGUAGCGUGAGGGAUGACUGCCCUAUGGGUUGUAAACCUCUUUUAUAAGGGAAUAAAAUACGGGACGUGUCCUGUUUUGCAUGUACCUUAUGAAUAAGGACCGGCUAAUUCCGUGCCAGCAGCC
rnacentral:rRNA from 1 species